AUCGAACGCUGGCGGCAUGCCUAACACAUGCAAGUCGAACGAGUGGCGGACGGGUGUGUAAUGUCUGGGAAACUGCCUGAUGGAGGGGGAUAACUACUGGAAACGGUAGCUAAUACCGCAUACCAUCAGAUGUGCCCAGAUGGGCGUAGCUAGUUGGUGGGGUAACGGCUCACCAAGGCCAAGACCCCUAGCUGGUCUGAGAGGAUGACCAGCCACACUGGAACUGAGACACGGUCCAGACUCCUACGUGAGUCAGCAGUGGGUAAUAUUGCACAAUGGGCGCAAGCCUGAUGCAGCACUGCCGCGUGUAUGAAGAGGGCCUUCGGGUUGUAAAGUACUUUCAGCGGGGAGGCGUUACCCGCAGAAGAAGCACCGGCUAACUCCGUGCCAGCAGCCGCUGUAAUAC
rnacentral:rRNA from 1 species